rnacentral:rRNA from 1 species
UUCCGGUUGAUCCUGCCGGACCCGACUGCUAUCGGAAUGGGACUAAGCCAUGCGAGUCGUAUGUCCCUGGACCGCCAGGGGCAUGGCGAACGGCUCAGUAACACGUGGCCAACCUACCCUCAAGAUGCGGAUAACCCCGGGAAACUGGGACUAAUCCGCAAUAGGCCCAGAUUUCUGGAAUUGAAUCUGGGCUGAAAGGGUAACAUGAGCAUGCUUCAUGUUACCGCUUGAGGAUGGGGCUACGGCCGAUCAGGCUGUUGGUGGGGUAACGGCCCACCAAACCUUUGACCGGUACGGGCUUUGAGAGAAGGAGCCCGGAGAUGGACACUGAGACAAGGGUCCAGGCCCUACGGGGCGCAGCAGGCGCGAAACCUCCGCAAUGCGCGAAAGCGCGACGGGGCCACCCCGAGUGCCAUCCGCUGAGGGUGGCUUUUCCCUAGUGUAGUAAGCUAGGGGAAUAAGCGGGGGGCAAGUCUGGUGUCAGCCGCCGCGGUAAUACCAGC